GAUGAACGCUGGCGGCGUGCCUAAUACAUGCAAGUCGAGCGAAUGGAUUGAGAGCUUGCUCUUAUGAAGUUAGUGGCGGACGGGUGAGUAACACGUGGGUAACCUGCCCAUAAGACUGGGAUAACUCCGGGAAACCGGGGCUAAUACCGGAUAACAUUUUGAACCGCAUGGUUCGAAAUUGAAAGGCGGCUUCGGCUGUCACUUAUGGAUGGACCCGCGUCGCAUUAGCUAGUUGGUGAGGUAACGGCUCACCAAGGCAACGAUGCGUAGCCGACCUGGGAGGGUGAUCGGCCACACUGGGACUGAGACACGGCCCAGACUCCUACGGGAGGCAGCAGUAGGGAAUCUUCCGCAAUGGACGAAAGUCUGACGGAGCAACGCCGCGUGAGUGACGAAGGCUUUCGGGUCGUAAAACUCUGUUGUUAGGGAAGAACAAGUGCUAGUUGAAUAAGCUGGCACCUUGACGGUACCUAACCAGAAAGCCACGGCUAACUACGUGCCAGCCGCCGCGGUAA
rnacentral:rRNA from 1 species